AUCAGUUUGACUAAACAAAACUAUAUUAAUAAAUUGGAACCUUUCUUAAUUAGAACCAUAAUUAGUUAAGGCUUUGACUUUAAGCACAAUUGAAAAAUCAAGAUUAAAUGCAGAAGCAUACAAUACAUAUUGCUAACCUAAUUUGUGUGUCAGGGACACAGGAGUUGAGCUGGGAAAUUCAAGUGGGCAGAUGAAAAAUCUCUAUUGCACUUAGUGCAUGUGAAAAGCUAAUGCACCAAGUGCAAUUAAGGAAAUUCCGAGAAUCACAAUUAAACAGAAACAGAGCAGCAUCUAUUGCACUUUGAAUGUAAACGACCGCUAGGCAGGGCAAAGGAACAAGAAGAAGCAGGGGCCAAUGGAAUGUAAACAAAAACCGCAAUCAAACAGAUACAAUGCACGCACACACAUGCGGCUGCAUGAGCGUGGGUGAAGUGCAUAUGUGUAUGUGUAUGUGUAUAAGCAGGCUCGCAACGUUAAAUGCAUGCAAUUUAAUAUUUUUAGUGCUUUCGCCUGUCUAAUUCCAGUGAUGAACUCAUUGUGUGCAAAAAAAACUAGGAACAAACCAUUGAAAUUGGAUGUUGAUGCAUCUACAACGGGGGCAGCCACUGCGCCAUCAGCGUCCGCCUCAAUUUUCGUGUGAGCUCCUUGCAAGAAUAACAA